rfam:Paenibacillus sp. HGF7 contig00172, whole genome shotgun sequence.
ACUCGAUAAAGGCAAACUAUCGCGAAAGCAUAGGACGCAAAGCCACGGGUCUAAAGCGCAGCUAGACAGCCGGGUUACCGAA